rnacentral:rRNA from 1 species
AUUGAACGCUGGCGGCAGGCCUAACACAUGCAAGUCGAGCGAGCGGCGGACGGGUGAGUAAUGUCUGGGAAACUGCCUGAUGGAGGGGGAUAACUACUGGAAACGGUAGCUAAUACCGCAUACCAUCAGAUGUGCCCAGAUGGGCUUAGCUGGUAGGUGGGGUAACGGCUCACCUAGGCGACGAGCCCUAGCUGGUCUGAGAGGAUGACCAGCCACACUGGAACUGAGACACGGUCCGGACUCCUAAGGGAGGCAGCGGUGGGGAAUAUUGGAGAAGGGGCGCGAGCCUGAUGCAGCCAUGCCGCGUGUGUGAAGAAGGCCUUCGGGUUGUAAAGCACUUUCAGCGGGGAGGCGUUACCCGCAGAAGAAGCACCGGCUAACUCCGUGCCAGCAGCCGCGGUAAUAC